AUUAAAUUAGGUUAAUAAUAAACCAUUGAUCUGUGGAGUCAAAAAUAUAAAUUUAUAUUUAAUC
rnacentral:tRNA from 1 species